CUGUGCCCAGGAUCCAAAAUGGUGAACCCUGGGCUGUGGAAGCAGAGCGCCGUGAAAUUAACCACUCAGCCACAGGAGAAUUAUUUUGACCAUGUUAGAAUUUGGUGAUUGUUAGUAUGUCAAGUUUUUAAGAUGAUCAGUGAUAACAUUCCCCUUUUAGUAGGGAAAUGUGUGUGUUGAUUCAUGUCAGCUUCCUCAAAUGUGUUAAACCUAGAUUUACUACCUAACCUAACUGCAGUUUUGACCUUCUAGAAAUGUAACCUUCAUCAACCUGUCUGGAGUUUUCCAGUCAGCACCAACGAGGUAAUCUGUCCUGUGGGCCCUCCCAAUCUCCCCCACCAGAGAAGACGAGGCAGUCUGCAUGACAAAACCAUUGCUGGUUCCCUUCCCCCUAAAGAGAUGAUGUCCUGGCCCAAAAUAACCCUUUCUUUUCUUUUGCUAAUAACUUCCUUCCCCCACCCUCCUUCCUAGAAAAACUUUCCAUUUUGUGUAACAUCUUGAAGUAUCUUUCUACUCUGCUAGACGGGAGGCUGCCCAAUUCACGAAUCAUUGAAAGGCCAAUUAGAUCCUCAAACUUGCUUUGUUGAAAUUUUGUUUUUAACAGAUUUGGUGGCAGCGACUAGACUGAAGGAGACUUCCAGCAGCUUCAGGGACAACGAGAAACAGAGGCAUGGCACUCUGUGAAUCCUUUGGAGUUCACUGUCUUUCUUGCUGUUUCUAGGGCCAUUGCUGCUGAUCAACAGGGAAAAGAUCUCCCUAAGACUGGAACAAGAAAAAAGCAGCAAAGAGGAUAACCAACUUAAAGAUUGUGAACCUGAAGCUGUGACCUGUGAGUGUCACAGAAACUAAGCAAAAACAUCAUGACUUGUGAUACCACACAGAAGACCAAAAAAAGCCACGAAAAUUACAGAGUGGUACCUGAGAGUGGUGCUAAUAUCUUAAGUUUUUUUUAAACACUUUUUUUUUUUUUAAAGAUUGGUACCUGAGCUAACAUCUGUUGCAAAUCUUUUUUUCUUUUUUUUAAUUUUUUUCCGUCUUCUCCCCAAAGCGCCCCCAUACAUAGUCGUAUAUUCUACUGGUAGGUUGUUCUGGUUGUACACUGUAGGACACUGCCUCAGCAUGGCUUGAUGAGCGGAGCUAGGUCUGUGCCCAGGAUCUGAACCGGCAAAACCCUGGGCCACCAAAGCGGGGCAUGUGAACUUAACCACUCGGCCACAGGGCUGGCCCCUAAUGUCUUAAAUUUUGAUCACAUCGCUCAGACAAGCUGAGAGGCUGAUCAAAAAGGGGAGAUUGUUAAAGAGAAAACCACAGGCCCAGAAUGGUGUUACUUGUGCUAAAGUGCUAAAGCCCGUGAUAACCAGAUCUAGAUUUAAUACUUAACCUACUGCAGUUUUGACCUUCCCCAGAAAUGUAAUCUUCCUCAACCAGUCUGGAAUUUUCUGGUCAGUACCAAUGAGAUAAUCUGUCAUGUGGGCCCUACCCUUCCCCCCACUGAGGACGAAGCAAUCUGCAUGACAAAACCCUCCCCCGCAAAGAGACGAUGUCCUGGCCCCAAAUAAUCCUCCUUUCCUUUUGCUAACAACGUCCUUGCCCCACCUUCCUUCCUAUAAAAACCUUCCACUCUGUAUAACUCCUCAGAGUCUCUCUCUACUUGCUAGAAAGGGUGCUGCCCGUCAUGAAUUGUUGAAUAAAGCCAAUUAGACCUUCAAA